AUGGUCCCCCUUCAACUCGGGGCUCACGUGGGAGGGACCAGAGCCGCCGUCUCACCAGGGCAGAAGAAGAAAGCCAGCAACACUGCCCAUGAUGGCCGCAGCAUCAUCUUCAUCUGGACUCUCACAGCGUUUGCUCAAGAGUGUAGAGGACAGAUCAGCGUCACUCAGAGUCCCUCAACAGCAGCUCAACCAGGAGAAACAGUGACGAUCAGCUGCAAAACCAGCAAGGAUGUGCACAGUGAUAGUUGGGGGCAGCACAUAGCCUGGUACUUACAGAAACCUGGAGAAGCUCCUAAAUUUCUGAUUCAGUAUGCAAAAAAGCUUCAGUCAGGAACUCCAUCUAGAUUCAGUGGCAGUGGAUCUAACAGUGAUUUCUCUAUGACCAUCAGUGGAGUCCAGACUGAAGAUGCUGGACAUUAUUACUGUCAGAGUUAUCACAGUGGUAAUGUGUUCACACAGUGA